UUUUCCUUUUGAUUUUUUCUUUUAAAAAAAACAUUUAGUCAAAGUUGAUUAUUGUUGUCUGACUUUUGUUGUAUUGUGUUAAUUUUUCUUGAUUUCCAUUGGUUGGGGGUGAAGGGUUUGGAUCGAGUCGAAUAAGGCUCAGAUCUAGACGUUCAUUUGUUGUUAAGUUGUUUUAAGCCAUAGAUUCGCUUUACAAGUUCAUUUUCUGGGAAAUAUUAGUUGUCCCACAUCGAUGCUUUGAGGGUUUGAACAAUUUUUGGGUUCUAUAAGUAGAACCCCACCCUCACCAUGAAAGAAAGUGGGAAAAAAUGGGGAAAAAAUAAAAGAGGCUAGAAACUUCGAAUUCAAGCAUCUUAGUAUAAAACUUUUAAGGCUUUGACUUAGGUUGAGGUUUUCUUAGUUCUAAAAAAUUCAUUUCUUCCUUGUUUUCGAGUCUGGUGUGGCUGAGUGUGGUUUUGGAAGCACAAAGGCUUUCAAGUUCAAUUUUGACCACGGUUGCACUUUAAAAGGGUAACAUUUUAUCUUUGUUGCUUAUUUUUGUUAUUAAGUAGCUUGUUAGGUGACAAUGGUCUGUUUGAUGUUAGAUUAUUUUUGGUUCAAUUAAUUGGUAAUGUGUUGUUCCAAGUAAUGCUUAAUGUUCAUUAGAUGUUUGGAAAAAAAGAUUACUUCCUUAUUUUCAAAAGAUACCUGUUUAAACCUUAAUAUUGGUUGUUAAUAUGGACUGAAUGUAUGAGAUUAGAUAACGUAUUGAUGUUGUUCUAUAGAUAGGGAUAAACAGAUUGUUGUGUGCUUUAUUAGAUGUUGAAAUUUCUUGUUUGGCUGCUCAACCCUUAGACAUGACAAAAAUGUGAUUACAUGAUUCAUAAUAAUAAUCCAGUGAACUUUUAGACCAAUACUAAUCCAAUUUGAAUGUAAUAGAUUGCUAAGGUGCUGUGAUGAUCCAUCUUGAAUCAUUUAAGGCAGUUGCUAUUUCCUUAAUGAGACUAUGUCAAAUUUGAAUCUUCAAUCUGCUUUCCUAAAUCUGUAUACUUUGUCUAUGUCAAUUAGAUAGCAUGAGUCAUGAUUAGGGUAAAAUAAGGAUCAUGAUUAGGAUAAAAUAACGAUCAUGAUUGGAUUAAAAUAAAGCUUAAAAGAGUCUAGGCAUACUUAUAGGAGUCUCAUGAUGUGGUUAAGGCACUAAAGUAAGAUUAAAUGGGGUCUGUUUGCAUUUGAAUGGGUUUGAGUCUACCUAAGUCUGUUUGAGUAUGUUUUGGAUUAGCCUAAAAAAAAUUGAGUAGUUGUAGGCUAUACAUUAAAGGUAAGUUGAAGCAAUAACACUCUAGAAUCUAAUAUAGAAGUUUUAAAAUGAAGGUUGAGAUUAAGAUUCGUUUAUUUGAUAAUAGGUUCCCAAAUGGUCCAUUAGAAAGCUAGUGUAGGUUUAUGAAGUUGUAAAAUCAUCUCAAAUGAAUCAGGAUACCUAGGUACAAGUAGGAUGAUUGUGUGUCAUGGUUGUUCAUUCAAGCAGAGUCUAGUCUUGACUAUUUAUGUUAUCAGACCCUCCCCCUUUUAUGUCUAGUUCAUGCUUGAGUCUUCAAAAGAGGUCUAGUGAGAUUUAAAAAGGGUAAUUAAGUCCUAAUAUGAUCUUGACUGUUAAAAAUUAUUAAUCAACCAGUCGAAGAAGUUAUUUGAGUCUAAGUAUUGGUGUUCAUUCUAACUUAAGCUUAUAAUGAUUAAGAUGCUCAAAUCUUUUCAAAGUGGUAAUGUCUAAAAGGAAUUCAAAAUAGUUUUCAUAGUUGAGACCCUAGACUGAAUUGAUUAAAACUGUUUACUUGAAUGGUCAACUAGGUGUUUAGAUGGGAUUUAAUUUAAAGGGCAGUGUCAAACUAGUUUUAACCACAAGGUUUUGGUGGCUGCCAUUAGGUAUGAGGGUGAGGUAAAGGAUUGAGGUUACGUUGAGAGAGUAAAGGGUGAGCUUAGGUAUGAAUUGGAGGUAAUGACCAGUGGCGCAUUUGUUCCCCUUUUACUGAAAGCAAGAUUCAGGAGAGAAAUAUGGAGGUGAUGACCUCACCCUACCCUGUUUCUCUUUCAGUUCCCAUAGCUGUGGGAUUCACAGGAACCUUAUAUUUGGUUAUAAGUAGUUUACCAUGCCUGGGAGGGAACCUUUGAGAGUUAUGCUGUUAAAACUGAUUUAAAACAAAGUGUGAGGGUAUGCCAUAUUUUCUACCAUAAUUAAAGGGAUUAAAAGUUGCUAUUGACUAAGUUCUGAGAGUAAGUUAUUCACCAAGGCUUGGAUCCAUAUUUUUAGAGUUCAACUUGUUUGCUUUGUGUUGCUUAAGAAUGAAUAUGUUCAAUAAAACCUACAUGAUACAUUUAUGUUUAGACCUGUAUGUAUUGUGUGCUAGACUUAGUUUGAAUUUGGGAAGAGUACAUUUUAGUUAACAUAAGGUUGGUGAGGAUCCUUACUCUUGAACUUGAACUGUUGCAUUUAGACUUUGAUGUGCAUGGUAGUUUAAAUUUGGAUGGGAAAGGUAAAGUUGUACUCUGUCUAAUAUGGUCUGUCUCUAUAAUGUUUGUCUAUUUAAAGCCCUGUCACGUUUAGAACUGUAGGAUAAAAUAAUUGAAUACUAAAUCUGUGUUUAAAAAAUGAAUAAGUGACAAGUUGGAAUUGGUUUAAUGUUGUGGCUUGAGGAUGUUGUGAGUGCUCUUAAAACAGUCUGAACCACUUGGCAUAGGGUGGUCUUUUCAAGACACCUCAAAGAGGGGGCAGGGAAGAGUCUAGCUUAGCUUGACUUAUAGUUCCUACCCUCAAAAUGAAGGGUGUCAUGACACAGCCUAUGGACCAUGGGGGCAUUCCUGUUAUGAGGAUGCAUUGAUCUUCCUUGAAUCUCACCUUUUUAUCAAAGGUUGGAAAUAGAAAAGGGUGGGAAAAAGGUUAACUUGUUUAAAUGUCUAAAGGGAAGUUAGAAAAAAUAAACUUGUUAUUUCAAUAGGGUGAUUUUUGCUUUCUUUCUAAGAGAAAUGGACUAGUUUAAGACCGUUAUAAUGAGAGUCCUUUUUAGGAGUUUAAAAAAUCUUGGGUCGCAAAGAGUUGUUUUUAAAACCUUAUUCCAUUCUUUUUCUGUGAGACUUGGUGAUGCAUAGCUGCUCAUUUCUCUUUUUUACUCAAGUGGCAAUUCACAUGAAAUCUUGUUGGGUACAUGCUCUUACUACUGCUUGACUAAACCAAAGGUUCAUUUCUAUGGGUUUUCCUGAGAAUAUAAAUUGCACAGUCUCAAUUCAUUUAAUGUUGUUUUAAUUCAAAUUUCUUGGUGUUCCAACCAUGUUUUUGGUAAUCAUAAGAUUAUUGGAUUUUCUCUCUUUAUGUUAUAUCCCGCAUUUUGUACGUUCGGAUAUUUCAAGGUAGUAGUGGCAAGGUUAAGGAAAUGACCAUCGUCCAAAAUUAUUUUAAUGUACAAGUUGGUGAUGAACAUUAUUUAUGAACAUUAGUGGCAUGGAAAUAUUGAGGAAGGCUAAGGGCAAAAAGGGAAAUUCGCAAAAUGGUUCAUGGUAAUAUUGUGGAAGUCUAGGGGCAAAAUGGGAAUUUCACAAAAAAUUCAUGAAAGUUCUUGAAAGGCCAUGUUGGCCGUGUGAUAUGUGUGGAAUAUGUGCACAUUUUUAAUUAAUGGGGACUAAAGUGUACACAAGAAGAAACUUAGUCUUCCUUGUUUAAUUUCAAGAAAGAGAGGGAAAAAUCUAGAAAAAUGGAGAGAGGGGCAUGUGCCCCUCACAUGCUUGAGGAAUUAUAUAUAUAUAUAUAUAUAUAUGAGCUCAUCUUUUAAUUCAAGAAGAAUUAUUCCACUCUAGUAUUUUCACUAAAUGGAAGGUCCUCUACAACAUGGAGUGAUUGUUGGAAGAAGUAGAGCAAUUAUUGUGCAAGUUGGAAACUCUAGCCAAGUUGAAGAAGCAAGCGGAAAAAGACUCACAAGUUGGACGAAUAAGUGUAGCUAGUAAGGCGCGGCACAGAUUACGGGAUGUCACAAACAUGGAGUGAUUGUUGGAAGAAGUAGAGCACUUAUUGUGCAAGUUGGAAACUCUAGCCAAGUUGAUGAAGCAAGCGGAAAAAGACUAACAAAUUGGACGAAUAAGUGUAGCUAGUAAGGCGCGGCACAGGUACACCCAGGUGAACAAAAUCUAUUAUAGAAGAGGUUCCAGCGAAGUUGGUAGACUCCACUUGUUUCUGGAAGUGCUGCCAAGUCAGAGCUUGUAUGCUAGGAUUUUUGGUUUGAUGUUAGAGACUUUGCAGACAGAGUCGUGGGUAUCGGAAGUCAGUCUGUCAGCGACUCCGUCAGCCGAUGUGUCAGUUUGUAUUAUGAUAUAAGUUUUACACAGUUACAGAUUUUACUUGAUUUGAAAGCAACAAAAAGAAUAUUUCAGUAAGCUUUAUUAUGUAUACUUUAUUUAGAGGUUCAAAAGAUUAUGUAUGUAAUAGGAGUCGGAGGGUUCGCUCGGCCCUAUGUAAGGGUCGGGUGCCCAUCACACCCUAGUAAGGUUAGGGUGUGACACUUUACCUACAUCUCCCUGCUGUGUUUCUGUUAAUUGCAUCAAGCAGUUCUCACACUUACUACUAUGAGGUCU